CCACAGGGAUAACUGGCUUGUGG
rnacentral:snRNA from 1 species